CUAGUAUUCAGUUUUCAUAACAAUUUGUCCUAUGAAGAUUUUGUUAAUAUUUUUUUUCAAUUUAUUUAUUUCAUUCUUUUCAGCCGAUGUGAUAAGUGUCGUAUGACCAUGGAUUUUGUCAGAGAGGUUGAUGCCAAUUGAAAUCUUUUGAAGUCACGAUUUCAUGUUACAACGUAAAUCAAAAGAGAAAGUUUACUGUGAACAGAUAUACACUUAUAUGUGUAACCCAAAACAAGAAUAUAACUUCAUAAGUCUUUCAGUGCAUUUUAUCAAUAAAAUCAACUGGAAUACAAAA